UCGCUGCUGCUCCUGCUCUCUGUGCUGGCCUGGGCAACUGGGAUGCUUCAUUUCAAGCAGAGCAGGGUGGAGUUCCAUGCUCUGAAAUUGGCCUGUUCUGGUAGGGGAGCUCCUUUUUCCUGUGGCGUUCGGUUGGAGAAGUUUGGCUAUUGUCUGUCUUUCAGGCUGCCCCUUUCUGAUAAUGUCUAAAGCGUGAAGUUCUACUUGAUGAGGAGCCAUACUCCUACGGCAUUUUCUCAGAAGGAGAAGUCUCAUUUUUGCUCUUGUCAUCCCAGUCUUUGAGUAGCUAAAGUGUGGAACCUAAAUGUCCCUCAGUGGAUGAAUGGAUUAAAGCAAAGAAAAUGGAGGAUAUGUGCGCCAUGGAAUAUGGAGCAAUGCAGCCUUGAAAAAGGCAAUCCUGCUUUCUAAGACAGCAUGGAUGAACCUGAAAUACACUAUGUUAAAAGGAAGAGAGAGACAAAUACCACCUGAUCUCACUUAUAUGGAAAUCUAAAAACGUGGAGGUCAGAAGAGAGAACAGAAUAUUGGUUUCCAGUGCGGGAAAGGAGAGAUGUGGGGAAAAUGUUUCUCAAAGGGCACAAAAUUUCAGUUAGAAAGAAUAAGGGUAGGAGAUCUAUUGUGUUUUUGGAAAUUUCUGAGAGAGUAGAUUGUGCUUUCAUCACCAAAAAGUAUAUGAGGUAGGGGCUGGGGAUUUAGCUCAACGGCACAGCGCCUGCCUGGCAAGCGCAAGGUUGUGAGUUCAAUUCCUGGUAUCAGAAGAAAAAUAGACAAACAAACAAAUAAAAAAACAAAAAACCCCAAAAGUAUAUGAGGUAAUAGGUAUGUUAAUGGGCUCAAUUUAGCCAUUCCACAAUGUGUACAUAUUUCAAAACAAUGUGUUGUACAGGAUAAAUAUGUAUACAUUUUAUUUGUCAAU